GUUAGAAGUUUUACUCUGCCACAUCCUCUCCUUCCGUGGUGCUUUGUUAUAAGACCCAAAGGGAGUAGGACAAGCAACAAUGCACUGAAACUUCUAAAACUGUGUGUUAAAAUAAUUUUUUUCUCUUUAGAAGUUAGUUGUCACAUAUAUUCAUUAUAGCGAUGAAAACCUAAUAUACAUAGUAUUAAGAAGCCUUCAUUUCUUCGCAUGCAGGGGAUUACAACCUGAAACAAAUUACUUGUAAAAUGUGUUUAAAGACCAAUCAAACUCUUUGAGGUAUGAAACGACAGAAGGUUGUGUUCCGUAAAUCGAUAUGAAGAUUCCUCAAGGAGAAACUGAAAGUCCGCCUGACAUUUGCAAAGGAUCAGAGAUCCAUUCAGUGAAAGUUCUAGAAGAAGCACCAGAAUCUCCCGGUUCAUGGUCCACGUUAAGCAGAUGAGGUGAAGACUACUGCAUCUCCUGUCUUUUCACAGAAUCAGCUGCAGCCUCUUCUACUUUGCACAUGGUCAGGGUCACAGUGGAAACCCAAGAAAACCUGCAUUUUAUCUGAUGAGUCAUGAUAAUUCACUGUUGGCCUUUCUGAUUAUUUUCCCUGUCUAAUUUUAUCCUGGGAUAUUAUGAGGGCCAAUUGAGAGGGAUGAUGUGGGUGAAAAUUACAUUCUAAACUGCCGAGCAAGGAUAAUCCGCCACUGGUGAUGCUGGUGACUGAUCACGGACAGUUAAUGUUGGAAGAGCCCUUGGCGUGCAGUCUGCUUGGUUACACAGAUUGUCAAGGACCCAGAGGCCCAGACUGCUAUCAUAUGUUGUCCAACCCACGCAUUUAGUGACUUACUGGCUGCUGCCCUAAGUCCUUUUUCAGGUUCGCUUACUGUACGUAGUGGCAGAGCUGUCCCCAGGGUCUGGAGACUCCCUGACUCUCUGUGCUGUGCCAUUGUUUUUUCUCCAGGUUAAAAUGUUCUUUCAAUGUUGAGCAUGUAGGUUUGCCUAGGGAUGGGGACUCAAUCCCUUCUAAAAUGCGUCAUUUUGCCCUUGGUCUUUUCUCCUGGAGGUGGCAUGGGAAACAUGCCAACCCAUUUUCUGACUGGAGCUGCAGUGUGACAGGAGCUUAGGGGAAACUGCUGGGUCUUUCAUGGGGAGAUAGAAUCUAGAGAGCUGACUUGAACUGUCUUCGCUUAGAUACAAAGGAUUUUUCUAACGUAAUUGUAAGUAUUAGGAAGAAAACCAUUUCAUCAUUUGCCUCUAUCUCCUUUUACUCAUAAAUCAGUUAGAUCAAUAACUUUUUGAAAUGUGAAAACCUUUAUUUGGCAUCUAAUCAGAGAGAAAAUGGAAUAUUAUAACUUUUUUGGAGAAGUAGUACCAUGCUUUUUAAGUUUAAAAGAAGGGCAAGAACUGAAAUCUGGCCUCCUGACCUACUCUGGGGAUCUGACUA